GCGCGAAACAGGCCGCCGUUGCGGCGGUGGCCUGUCUCCGGGGCGUGGUGGCCCCGGACUGAUGAGCAGCCGACA
rnacentral:hammerhead_ribozyme from 1 species